CUGUGAUGCCCUUAGAAGUUCUGUGCCGCAGACGCGCUACACUGACAGAGCCAACGAGUUCAUCACCUUAUCCGAAAGGUCUGGGUAAUCUUGUGAGACUCU
rnacentral:rRNA from 1 species